rnacentral:misc_RNA from 1 species
GAACGCACCUUGCGCCCUUUGGCUAUUCCGAAGGGCAUGCCUGUUUGAGUAUCAUGAACACCUCAACUCUCAUGGUUUGCCGUGAUGAGCUUGGACUAUGGGGGUCUUGCUGGCCUGUGGUCAGCUCCUCUCAAAUGAAUCAGCUUGCCAGUGUUUGGUGGCAUCACAGGUGUGAUAACUAUCUACGCUUGUGGUUUUUCCACCAGGUAACCUUCAGCAGUGAAGGUUCACUGGAGCUCAUAGACGUCUCUCCUCAGUGAGGACAGCCCUUUGAAUGUUUGAUCUCAAAUCAGGUAGGACUACCCGCUGAACUUAAG